rnacentral:lncRNA from 1 species
GAAUAAAGCCCAAAAAUAUCAGCAUAACAUUCAGGGGACUUGGUGAUCAAGAUCCACUUUAUCUCUCCUGUGUUAUCUCUGACUGCCACCCUGUGAAGCCUUGAUUCAACUACACCAAACCGCUGACAAUUCUUGAGAACAUGAAGUUAUUAAAAAGUAAAAUCUAUAUUUGGGGACAAUAUAACUGUAGAAAAUCCAAAAAGAGUCAUUUGAAAAACAAAGUUAAUA